UGGAUCUAGAACUUCUCAUCUUUUCCAAAGUUUUACAGACAGUGGAGUGCUGGUAAACACCCAAUGACUGGCUCUGGGGAUUGUCAAGCAAUUACAGAUUUCCAUACAAUAAAUGUUUCCAACACCUUCAUUCCACAUCUCCAAGAUCCAUCAAAAGGACAGCACCAGAACCUACCACUAGUGGGAAUAGAAGGAACAAGAUGA